ACCUGAGCUGGCACGGAGAGUCGGACGUCAGCAGAGGCAGGAAUCUUUUGCCUUUAGUUUCGCCAACACCGCUCGCUUUGCUCGGGGGUCCCCUGGGGAGGGGGGCGAGAGGGAAACCUCAGUGUCCUGUGCCUUCUCCGCCCUGGCGCCUGCCCCGAAGGGACCGCGGUGUCCGUCUGGGCUGUGCCCCCAAAGCAGCAGAGACCAAGAGAAAAGACUGGCCAGAGGGCAGAGACACUGGCCAUGUGCUCCGGAGCCCGGCUCAGCUGACGUUGAGUCCCAGAGCCAGCCCUUGGCGACUGCAGCCGUGUGGUCUCGGGCGAGCAGGUUCCUCCUCCGAAUCCUUGUCUUCAACGAAAGGGAGUCGUGUCUAAUUAUUAAACACCGGGCACCUAGGAAGCCCUCAUCUGUAUGAGCUUCUGAGCCUCAGUUUCCUCCUCCUCCAAAUGGGGGUAACACUUGGCUUGCCAGGAGGGUGGCUCUUGGAAGCGCCCGUGCUUGCUGCUGGAGCGGGGAGUGGGUAGGGAGUGGGGUCGAUCGCUUGUCCAUUUGCUAUUGUCUUCCCUCUCGCCAAGUUCAGUUGCGGCUUUGGGCUCCGGUGUCUGCACCACCCCCGGAAUCGUGGACCAGACACAGCCCAAGAGGGGACCCCGGGCGUCCGCCCAUCCUUGGCGCGGGCGGCCGCGCGCUCGGCCCUGCUUGGGCUUCUGGAACGAGACAGAAACCUCACCAGCAGAGGCUAGAGAAACCAGCGUGGGCAAAGGGCGGAUCGUUAGCCACCGUCACCUGGAGCCGAAAAUAAGAGGGACUUCGUGGGGAAGCCCUGCGGGCUGAUGACUUCACGCUGGCCCUCCUCGGCAUUUCCUGAGGAUCAGAGACCCAGCUCUUGGGCCGGUUCAUUGUCUGUGACUUCAGAGGAGCUUGAGAGAGAGGAGGAAGCAGCCCCACCCCUGCCGCUGGUUCCUGACCUCGGUGAGAGGCGCCGGGACGUUCUCCAGCCAGGGGAUGGAAGAGGAAGAACUGUGGCUCAAGCGACCGGAGUCGUCCCGGCUGGCAUCGGCCACGUCUCCCCACCCUUGAGAAGGGGUGCCGUGCGAACGCACGGAUUAGCCGGCGCUUUCCGAUGGCGCUGCGUGCGGGCCCUGCUGGGGCAGAAGCUUCCCGCUCCCCUCCCCUCCCCCCUGCUCCAGGUGGGACCCCUGAACUCCUCGCAGAAUGAACAAGACCAUGAAGGGCUGUCGAAACACCGCGUCCUCCUAACUAACCCCGGGAAAGCACAGCUUUCCUUUCAGGGACCGUAGGGACUGUAAUGCUGGUGGGGCAGCCAAUCCCAGUACUCCCCUUCUUGGGAACGGGGUGGGCCACGUGACCCAGGGAAGCCAAUCCCAAUGGUCCCGGCAGCUGGCAGAGCCAAUCAGAGGCUUCCCUGGGAGUUUAUAUUGUGACCUCCCCCUCCGGAGCCCCCCGUUGGCUCUAGGGCUGAGGCUUGGGGCCUCAGCGGCCUGAAGCUGCGUGGAACUAUCCCCCCCCCCCCCGCCUUCCCCACGUGGAGGGGGCCUGUAUUCUGGGGGCAACAAGGCCCCAACCUCUGACUCACCCGGGUCUGGGAGUCUUAAGAGUCUCCUUCUUCGCUUAAACAAAACAUCAGUCAAAUCACGUUUGUCUUUGGCUCCAAACUGCGGUGGCUCCCGUCUUGCUCAGAGUAAAAGCCAAAGUUUGGACAGCG